rnacentral:snRNA from 8 species
AUACUUACCUGGCAAGGGAGAUACCGUGAUCAAGAAGGCGGUUCACCCAGGGCGAGGCUCAGCCAUUGCACUCCGGCUGUGCUGACCCCUGCAAAUUUCCCAAAUGUGGAAAUCUCGAUUGCAUAAUUUAUGGUAGUGGGGGACUGCGUUCGCGCUCUCCCCUG